rnacentral:rRNA from 1 species
GACGAACGCUGGCGGCGUGCUUAACACAUGCAAGUCGAGCGGAGCGGCGAACGGGUGAGUAACGCGUGAGUAACUGCCCCCCUCUCUGGGAUAACAGUUGGAAAAGGAUGCUUAUAUCGGAUAGUGGGGGGGGACUCGCGUCCUAUCAGCUUGUUGGUGGGGUAGUGGCUUACCAAGGGGGCGACGGGUAGCCGGCCUGCGAGGGCGACCGGCCACAUUGGGCUGAGAUACGGCCCAAACUCCUACGGGAGGCAGCAGUGGGGAAUAUUGCACAAUGGGGGAAACCCGGAUGCAGCAACGCCGCGGGCGGGAUGACGGCCUUCGGGUUGUAAACCGCUUUCAGCCAUGACGCGGUAGUGGCAGAAGAAGCACCGGCUAACUACGUGCCAGCCGCCGCGGUAAUAC